AGUGGGGAAUUUUGGACAAUGGGCGCAAGCCUGAUCCAGCCAUGCCGCGUGCAGGAUGAAGGCCCUCGGGUUGUAAACUGCUUUUGUACGGAACGAAAAGCCUCUUUCUAAUAAAGAGGGGUGAUGACGGUACCGUAAGAAUAAGCACCGGCUAACUACGUGCCAGCAGCCGCGGUAAUACGUAGGGUGCGAGCGUUAAUCGGAAUUACUGGGCGUAAAGCGCGCGCAGGCGGUCUUGCAAGACAGUGGUGAAAUCCCCGGGCUCAACCUGGGAACUGCCAUUGUGACUGCAAGGCUGGAGUACGGCAGAGGGCGAUGGAAUUCCGCGUGUAGCAGUGAAGUGCGUAGAUAUGCGGAGGAACACCGAUGGCGAAGGCAGUCCCCUGGGCCUGUACUGACGCUCAUGCACGAAAGCGUGGGGAGCAAACA
rnacentral:rRNA from 1 species